AUUGAACGCUGGCGGCAGGCUUAAUACAUGCAAGUCGAGCGAGCGGCGGACGGGUGAGUAAUGUCUGGGAACCUGCCUGAUGGAGGGGGAUAACUACUGGAAACGUUAGCUAAUACCGCAUAACAGCAGAUGUGGCCAGAUGGGAUUAGCUAGUAGGUGGGGUAAUGGCUCAUCUAGGCGACGAUGCCUAGCUGGUCUGAGAGGAUGACCAGCCACACUGGAACUGAGACACGGUCCAGACUCCUACGGGAGGCAGCAGUGGGGAAUAUUGCACAAUGGACGCAAGCCUGAUGCAGCCAUGCCGCGGGUGUGAAGAAGGCCUUCGGGUUGUAAAGCACUUUCAGCGAGGAGGCGUUACUCGCAGAAGAAGCACCGGCUAACUCCGUGCCAGCAGCCGCGGUAAUUC
rnacentral:rRNA from 1 species